GAUUAUUGCAAGGCAAGUCACACAGAUCCCAAACACGAUUCCUUUGAGCAUGUUGAUCCUAUAUUUAAAUUCUCUAUUUAUUUCAACUGUGCAUUUAUUUUCGAAUGUCACCGGGUGGUGUGAACCUAUUCCUUUGUUAUGGCCAAUUUGCAUUGAAUGCCCUAUUCCUUGAUACCUUGGGUAAUAAAUUGAUUAGCUUGAACCUUAUGUAUUGGUUUGGUUCAGCUAAAUGCUAUAUAUAUACUUGCUUAGCCAUGCCUAGAAACAUUAGUUCAUUAAUGGGAUGAAUCCUACUACAUUAUUAUUUAUGGUUAUAUUUAGGGGCAAUUUCGUUUCUGCCCCUAAUUUGAUGUCUAAUAUUGAUUUUACCCUUAUUUUUUAGGGUUUUCGUUUUUACCCUCAUUUUUUUUAACCGAACGCUUGUUUUGCCCUUACCUUGGAUGAUAAAAUUAACGGUGUUAAGUAAUUGACAAAAUGACAUUUAUACCCUCUCAUGUAUGUUCAUUAAUUGUGUUUUUGCCCUCAUUUUAUACAUAUAGCUUUGAAACUUUAUUUUUGGAGUAUAUUUAAAACUAGAUGAUGCACAUUGACUAAUAUAACAAUUUGGAAAAAUUCUGUAUUUGAUUGAAUUUUGACAAAAUUUCAGCAUUUUGAUAGAACUUAAACAAAAUUUUGGCAACAUUAUGUAAAAUGUAAUUAUCUGUUCUCUUUAGAUAUUAGUCAAUGUGCUUCAUUUAAUUUUAAAUAUACUCACAAAAAUAAAGUUCUAAAGCUACAUGCAUAAAAUAGGGGCAAAGAUAUAAUUAAUGAACAGAGAUAUGAGAGGGUAUAAAUGUCCUUUUGCUAAUUACUUAACACCGUUAACUUAACCAUCCAAAGUAGGGGCAAAACGAUAGUUCGGUUCAAAAAAGUGGGGGCAAAAACGAAAACCCUAAAAAGUAGGGGUAAAAUCAAUAUUAGACAACAAAGUAGGGUUAGAAACGAAAUUGUCCCUUAUAUUUAAUGGUAGCUCACGAUGGUUAAUCGUGUUAUGAUAAUUAAUUGAUAAUUAAAACUUGAUAAUGGUGGGUUGUGAGCACAUGGUUUUGAAGGUCGUGCUCAUGACAAUUAAGGACCAGUACGCGAGCUACUGUUGUGAGACAUUAACCGUGCCAACCACAAGCCAGCGUGGGCAACGGCUUUACCUUUUGUAUAGUAUGGUACAUUGCGGGGCACCAGACUGUGAAGCGGCGAGAAGUCCGUGGGGGUCACUGGGAGUCCACGCCUCUGGUUAUUGAGGGGGUGAUUAUGAUCCAGGAAUGGUGCACUGUGGUGGAUUGUGUUGUGCAAGGGGUACUGUCACAGUUCCUAUCUGAGAUAUCGUGGUGGUAUUGAGGCGCAUGGUAACAUGUUGUGGAGCUGUGUCUUGUGGGUACAGUGGUACAUCUCUGGCCAGAGUAAAACUAUUCGAAUAGCCGUGCCCGUGGUUAUGGGUGAGUUGAGCAAUGUUUUCGUGAUUAGUCUCAUACCUCUCACAAUAAUUAUUGAUGCAAUAAUUGGUAAUAAUUUGCUUAGCUCCUGGUUCGGAGUUAGAUCUGUACAGCUCGGUAUGGUUGUUCAGAAUGGUUGGGCCUGAGCAGCAUGGGCGUGUGUUAACAACCAAAUUUGGUAAUAUCGGCAUCGGGAAAGAAGAUUAGAUCGAAGCAAAGUCGGAGGCGGAGAUCGAGUUCGGAAACAUAGCAGGAAUCGGCUGGAGUCCAGUUCGGCUACGAUUAGGAUCGGCUGGGUCUGAGUUGGGCUAGGUAAGCCGAUGCAGCCGAUUCCGACAAUGCAACUUGAUGAAUGACAUCGGGUUGAAUUGAGGUGCUUCAAGGUGAUUGCUGCACAUCGAUAGAGUCCUGAGAAGGCAAUUGUAUCUAUUAAUUAAGAUGUUUUAUGUAAUUUCCUUAGAGAUAUGCUUGGGCAAAAGUCUGCCGCAAAGACUUAUGGUAUCUUAGAGUUUGUUAGAGAUAGUAGUCGUGUCCGUUAUGGACAUAUCUUGUAAUUCUCGGGUAUAAAUAGACCCGAGCCCUAUGUAACUUUUAACACACACGUUCAAUACAAUUUCGGCGCAUCGCCACCCUUUUUGCUUUAGUUUUAUUUCGACGAGUUCUUACUUUCGGGUUGAGCUACAUCGGUUUCGAUCUUCAACAAGAGGUAAAACUUGUUAUGGCGGCUUGCGUUUUCGGGAUUAGUGCUUCCAUCUUUAUGACACUCUAAUCUUGUUUAUGUAAUUCGUCGAGUUAUCAUAUAUCCUACAUAAUCCUUGGCAAUAUCGAUAUCUGACCUAUAAUCGGCUAACAUCCGUCAAUAGAAGGCAGCCGAUUAGGUUAAAUACCGAUGUUUACUUAGAUUAUAUAGGAUAUCUACCACUCUAUGACACAUCCAACAGCUUGAUUGUCUAGAUAUUGUCCUCCUUUUCAUACUUAUAGCUGCAUCAGUUAAGUUUGAUAUUAUGAGUUGUGAUUAGAAUCUCAAUCUCUAGCCCGCUUAUUGGUUGCUGAUUAGGGUAGUAUCGGACUUUCAGCCAAUCUUGCCUGAUUUAACUACUUUUUAUCCUAUAUGCUUGAUUGACAUGUUAAAUCUGCCCUUUACGUUAAGAUCUUGCUGCAUUUAAGUAUAUUAAGCUUUUGUUUAGUAUAUUCUACUUGCUUUAAUAUCUUAAUAUAGAGUGGUAUCGGAGUAUUAGCCGAUACAUGCUAGAUCUAUCUGAUCGGCUAUGCUAUGAACGUAUAUAGUCUCAUUAUUAAUAUAUAUUUCGAUCUAAGUGAUUUAUACUGCCUCGGCAUGGCGACGGAUCUAUCCCAAUCACUUGAUUUAAGUAUAUAUCGAUAUAAAGAUUAUAUAUUGGUAAUAUCUGCAGCCGAUCGAGUAGAUUCAGUCCUUUCUUAUUUAUUAAUGACUGCCGAUCGAUGCAUAUACGACAUCGGCUCAAAGAUAAAUGAUAUGUCAUCGGCACCUCGCCGAUCGGCUAUCAUUUAUAGAUUUAACUGCGAUUUAUUUAUCAAAUCAACUGGCACGCUCAUACAUUCGAAGGCGAGCUUUGGACCUGCACUGGAGUUAAGCAGAUCUCCCAGGCCUUGUGUUUUCUGUCAACACGCUUUUGGCACACCUGGUGGGACAUUUAAGAAGUCAGCCAACAAUUCUUCCUCAUGGCCGAGAAACCACCACCAUCCCCAGCUAGCCCAGGCUCUGUUAAGGAAAAGAUGCUGAAAUUAGGGUUGGCUGACGUCAAUGAAGGAAAUGUCGUGCCGAUCGAUCCAGAAAAAUUCACACCUGAGCAGAAGAAAGAGUUUGAAGCAAUGUUGCAGCAAGCACGGGAUCAGUGCUUGAACUCAUUCAUGCAGACCCGCAAGGGGACACUUGUUCAGAAGUACAAAAUAAAAGUGGUUGCUGAUGAUCCGGGGACCAGUUCUUCUAAGGAUGGAGAUGGGAAACAAGCUCCAGACGGCUCGGCUCAGCUGAGUAACAAAAGUGCUACCGACAGCUCUCUAGGAAAUCAAGGUGACAAUUCUCAAGGAGUCCAUGGAGUGCAAGGUGACGGGGUGCAUGGAGUUCAAGGUGGUGGUGCCCGAGGGUUGCAAGGAGGGGAUCUUAAUCAGAAUAGUGAUACGACACUGUAACAUACCCAAAAUUCUAGGACUUAAAAAUUUGUUGUCAAAAUUGUUAGAAGAUAACUUCUCCAAUUUUGAGAGCCAAAAAUUUCCGUUUUAAUUUAGGUGAUGACCAACUUAAACCAUUGCAUGAUUAAAAUUUGAGAACAAAAUAAAACCUUUUCAUUCCCAGCAUUAGACUAGAAAUGUCAUCAAGCAUUUGAGCAUACAUGUGCAUAAUGCAUGCCUAGGCUUGAGUCCAUUGUGCAUUUGGUUUUGGUAUCGCUUUUCAUAAUAGAUCUCAUGAGCAUAAACUAAAAGGGUUAAAACUACUAAACAAAACUAUAGUUAAUAUUGGGUGAUAACAUGUGGACUUAAUAUUAAAUUCUAAUAUCAUUUUCUCAGCCCAAAAGAAGUUUAAUGUAAACCCUAUAAUAGUAUUAGAUGCAAUUAUGAAGUAGGAACACAUAUUCAAAGAAAGGUUAUUCUAAUUCUUUAGAAUAAUCUAUGCAAGAUAAAAUCAUGGAAAAAUUUAUGUAAACUAUGUUUAGCUCAAGCAAUUCACUAUAAUAUUGGUACAGGUUAAUAACUAAGUUUAAUACCACAAAUUAAUCAGUCAAAGCAGACAACUAAAAUAAAUCAAAUUAAACUUUAAUCGGCUAAAGCGAUACUUCAUCCAAAAGUAUAUUUAACUGCACAUAAGUGAAUAUAGAAAAUAAUUUAUUCAAAUACUAGAUUAUUUAUCAUGCCUAAAUAUAAUUUUUCUAGAAUUUUUCUCCUCUGUUUAAGCCUCCUAAAAAUUCAAUCUAGAUUUCUAAUAGCCCUUCUUUGUUUAAUUUCUGUGAGCAAUCUACCCAUUAUUUUUAAGUGCAACCAAAGAAAAUGGAAUCUACGUGUAAUCAUUUACCUCCAGUAAAAUCAACACUAAUUAAUUUGAUCGACACAUUAAAUUAUGGAGUUACAAAUUUAGAGGAGAAAAUAAUUCCGAAAAUUAAUCUAAAAAUCAAGUUUACCCAGUCUUCUACCCAUAUCUCUCUCCCUAGCCUAGUUUCCAUCGAGUUGGCCCCACUUGUCAGUGCCUUAGGCUAGCUUUAGCCCUGUCCAUCACUUCCUCCACUGCUCCAGCCGAGAGAGGGAGAGAUUGAGUGAGCCGACGCGUGGCCACAACGUGUCGUCGAUCUCGGUUUCCCUUUUCUCGCUCUCUACUCCUCCCAGACGCGUCGCCAUUCUCCAUUCAACACUCAGAGCUAAAGAAACCGAGGGAGGAGGUUCUCUGCCUCUCCAUCGCUCCAAACCUUGCCGCCGGCCAUGGAGACGACGACCAUCGCCAUCUCCAUUUGAGUCAAGGUCACCUCCAUCUCUUUCGCGUUCCCAUCUCUCCACACAAUGCCGAGCAUUUCCUCUUUUGACCUAAACCCCUCUCGUGCAGUGCAUCGCCGGGAACGCAAGCCACGCCGACAACGCCCUGGAGCACGCACCGGAGCGCCGCCGCUUCAACCAUCGUCGUCGUCCGGCCAUUCUCGACCACCUCGGAGCAAGCCGCUGCGCCAUCGUCAUCGCCUCAACCUCCUCUUCAAUACGCCUCAAGAACCCCAGCUGGAGAUGUGAAGGACUCGGAGAACGCAUCUUUUCUUCACCGGCGCCAAUCUAGAAUCGCCUCCGCCGUCAUCGUCGAUUACCGCUGCCUCGGUGAGCCAUUGUUCGAUUCCUCGCACAUACACCAUCUCCUUGACCUCACAAACCUUGUGCAUGCUUGCUUGUAGCAGCUCAUGCGAGCCGUCGUCGUUCACCCGAGGAGGAGUGCCGUCGCCGAGCCGUUCCACAAGUCACCACUACCGCCAAGACCUUGACAACCCUAGCUCGACCCAUGGUGAGCAUUCUGAAGGCUAGAAGACCACAUGCAUGCAUCCUUUUUGUUCGGAAUCGACUUCCAUCCACACAUGCGCUUUCACCCCAAGAACCACCGCCGCUCACACUCGCCAUUGGCGCUACUCCAAUGUCCCCUAACCAAGAAAACUAGAGGAAUGGAAUCGCAAGAACAUGCUCUUCAUUUAUCUUUUAACCCCAACUCCAACCGAGCCACCAAUCGCCGCCGGUGAACCCGGGAUCGAGCUCAGCCAUGGCUGCUCUGCCUCUGUGCGUGUGAAAAAGGAGUCAGGGACUUCAUUUUGAGAAUUUAAAUAACUAUAAGGUUCAUUACGUAAUGUUCCCAAUCAAUGACAUAUGGACCUAGGACUGCGGGUUGAGUUCCUGAAACCCUAGGGGCCUUUUUGCAUAUUGGCCUGAUACUGACAGGAGAACCCCAUGAGUUUAAAAUCUGAAAAAAAAUGUAAAAAGAUAAUACUAAAAGUUUUGUAUUUUCAACAGGAAAGCAUGUAAACUUAUAAAAUCCAUAACAAAUUGAAAACAACUCAUUUUAGAAAAUCCAUAACAAAUUGAAAACAACUCAUUUUAGAGUAAAUCAAAUUUCUGUGAACUCACCAAAUCAUGAACUUUAGAGUUAUUGCAUAAAACUACAUUCACUGUACAAACUUUGUCUCUAAAAUUGGUCUAAGAUAAAUCAUACAUAAAGCAUACACAAACUUAUAAAAUACAUAGAAAAUUCAUCUCAACUCAUUUUGAAACAAACUCAAAAAAACUGCAGAUUCAUCAUCAUGCACUCUCUGAUUAGGUGAAAUAAAAGUAAUUACUUACUUUGCAUCAAAUGCCUCUAAAACUAUUAUCUCUAUAAUGAUUAGUUUUAGAUAAGCUAAACUUUAGAAAUUCAUGUAGAACCCAAUUUAGCUUCAAUUUGAAUAAACUUAAGUUCUGUAGGAUCACCAAAACACGUAUUUCCAUGUUAUGAAAUAAGAUUAUAUACUUACUGUGUGUAGUAAAAGUCUCUAAAUAUUCAUAAAAGGAUUUACUAACAUAGAGCAACCUUUAAUUUGGCAAAACUUGUAGAAAAUUCAUUUUUAGUCCAAAUGAAAUGAACAAAGUUUCCAUAGAACUAGCAAAUAGUUAUCUUCAACAUAGUAAAAUAAAAUUUGGCACCUUUUGUAGAGAACAUAGAUCAAAACCUUAACUUAGUGAAAUAAGAAUUUAAACACAUAGUGUUGUUUAAGUAAUACAUAAACAUGUAUAAGUAUAUAUACACUUUAGGUCUAAUUAAACCUAAACAAAAACUUGAUUGACCAGUAAAGCCAUAGUUCCAUCCUCAUCCACUAAAACUUAGAAGAACUUAGCUCAUAUGACAAUUUCUAGGUUAAUAUAAUAUAUUGCUAGUUUAGAUUAGAGCAUCUCUAGCGUAUAAAAUAUGAACCAUAGUAGUAAAGACCAUAAACAUGUGAAAUAAAAAUGUUUUAGUUAACCAAAUUAGUCCUUUUAUUCAACUUAAACAGGAAGUAGCAUGUUCUGAACCUACAAAUUGAGAGUCAUGCACAUAUAAAACACUAUAUGCCUAAAACACGUUGUAACUUGUAAAAUCUAUAAGAAAAUCAUUAUAACUCCAAAAAUUGUGAAACCAAAGGUGUUAGUCUUAGAAAACACAUCUCCACACUCCUGUCAAGUCUAAUAUAAUAGAAAUCACUUGACAAAAGUAUUUUAUAACACUACCUAAGACUAUACUACUAUAAACCGAUAAAACUUCUAAAAAUUCAUAACUCCCUAAUGGAAUAAGAUAAAAUAAAAAUUCUUUCACCUAAAUUCAUUUUAGAUCAGUACCAAACCACUGUGCAUAAAUAAUGCAUUUUAGAGCAUUUUGGAUUUUUAGCUCUUUCGGUGUUUAAUUGCAUAUCGUGUCCUUUAUCUAGAUAAUUGCAUAAUCGGUGAAGGAGUGGAUUAGGUGCUAACAUUUCUCUGAUCAAGGCAAGUUUUCUCCUCCCAUCCUUUGAACACAUUGAAUCCCAUGAUUUGAGGAAUGAAAAUGUUUGUUUGCAAAGCUGCAUGUGAACUUAGAUUAUAUCGGUAUUUAAAAUUGGGUUAUGGUAGUUAUGACCUAUUUGCUGCAUACCCCACCUUGAAUAAUUGAUCCUCUUGCUGUUUGAACCCCUAGAAAUGGUUAGAGUACACUCUUUGUGCUCAAAUGGGUUUAUAUAUGCUCUAUUUGUAACUACUUGCUUAGCCAUGCUUAGAACUAUGCAAAUGCUCAUUCCAUCUAUAAUUAAAAUAUGAUUUUGAUAUAUGAACCUUUGCUGGAAUAAAAUGAAUAUGAUGGGUAUUUGCGAACUAAAAUGUGUAAAAUGUGAUUUUAUACUUGGGCGGCAAGUGGUGUGCAUAUGGUGUUAGUUGCAUACCGAUAGGGGGAGUGUUUGCCCAAGUCCAUAAGGACCGAACUUGUGUCACCCAUUUAAAGUUAUUCGUACAUCCACAUGUGCUAGUAUGGGAUGGCCUAAGCUGAGUAAUCUAUUUAGGACUAGCCUUGCAUUCUGGUAGGCCGGUGUGUAUGAGUUCGUAUAAUUCAGAGGAGCUUCCUAUUUACCCCGACGUGGUAGUUUAGGUGACUAAGUGUGUCCAAUACAACGGUAUUGUGCCACGUGGUGGGUUCCUGUCGUGUCCGCCAUCACGGCGUUAAGUUUAAGGCGUGGGCCCGUCACUUAACGGUUCUAGGUAUAUUCCAAAGUAUGCCUAGGAUGGAGGAACACGUAUCGUGCUGGUGCAAGGCUAGGCUCUAAGUAGUGUAAAGGCUUCGUUAUGACCUCUAGAUCACAUUCAACAUGAAGAGUGUGGUGGAGUCUUGCAAACUCAAAACAAACUAGAGAGUUCAUAUCAUGUGGGUAAAGUUGUACAAACUCUGCAGAGUUCUUUAAACUAAUCGAUUAGCCGUGCUCACGGUCAUGAGCGCUUUGGUGAUGUGUCAUGUGUAUAGACUAUGUUUUAAAAAUGUGAUCAUGUGACAUUGGUUUGAAAUGGAUAAAUGUGUUGAGUUGUGUGUGUGGUGAUACAUUAUGACUUAUUGUUAAGUAUGGCAAUAAGAGAUUGAUUAUGAUGGAAUUAUGAAGAAGUUAAUAAUGAAACUUAAAACUUGUUUUGUUAAUUGAAGCAUCAACUUCUUUACAAAAGAAUUGCGAAACAAAACUUGCUUUAUGCUGAACAUGAACUACAUAUUGCCUUCCUUUGAAUAUAUGCCUUACAUGUAGUAUGGUAGGAUUGACUUGUGCUUGCCAGUACAUUAACUUGUUUAAUGUACUGACUCUUGCUGUUGAUAUAACCUUUUGUUUGCAGGUUUAGACUUAGUCUUUGAAUGAUGCGGGUCCUGAUUGCUUCUUCUAGGAUGAGAACUUAAUGGGGUAAACCCCUAGUCGGUGUGCUUGUGAUUGGGUAGUCAAGCUUCCAUUGUUCUCUAAUAAGCCUAUUUGGCCGGUCGGCCUAUGUAAUUAUUAAGUUGUUGUAAGUCUUAAGUUUCUUUCAUCUUAGUUGUGUUUGCUAUGUAUAAUCAUGCUUAAGAUGAAAGUGUGAAUCUAGUGCACAUCCUGGGAACUAGAUUCACAUGAGUAUGAGUUAGGAAUAUUUGAGAGGUUGUAGAUCUUUAGCCAUUUUUGUCAAGUCUCCUGAAUGUGUAACGCAUCUGGUCGCUGCCUUCGAGUGGUUUGACGGGCACAUCUCAGGCUGAAGUUGACUGGCAGGCUAAGGGCCCAGCAAUGUCUCCAAUAUUCCUCUCUCGAGGCGUCGGAUGUUUCAUUAUGCUUGUUGGAUGACUUGAAUUAUUCACUUCAUCUCUCAAAUAUAAUGGAAGAUCCGGAGAGCCUACGACAGACACAAGGUUUUUUCAGUAAUUUCCAAGAUCGGGUCGACUACGCUGUGCAUCAUGUUUUGAUCAAUCAAUCUGGGGUGUUAGUCAAGACCUUAUCAAACAUGAUGAAGUCCAUAGCCGAUGGUUCAAUAGCUGAGCAUCAGGCUGCAGGCCCGGUUUAUUUGCAAGGAGGUGUCUUUCCAAAUUAUCGGUCUUUGAUUACCGAUGUUCAGCCAUCAACUCAGGCGGUUCCCUCUGUUGCACCAACAUCUCAGCCGAAGGCACUGGCGUCAAUUCCCCUACCUGUUCCGUCAGCAAUGGCGCCAGGCCAGCCAGUGAACCCUCAGUUGUUAAUGAGAGAGCAGCCACAGCAUGGUGGGCAGGUUGCGAAUCGGCUGACCCAAGAUCAGGUUGCUGCCACGUUUCUGCCGCCUCAACCUAUUGUUGAUCCAAUACAGCAGCAUCCGAUUCAGCAGACACCCCCAAUUCAGCAGGUUGUGCAACCAAUCCAGCAACAGGUCAUGCAACCAGUUCAGCAAACACCACCAAGGCAGCAGCCUCUGCAGCCGACUCAGCAGACGCUGUUAAGACAGCAAAUCGUUCAGCCGAUCCAGCGCCAAGGUUCAAUAGGUGCAUCGGCCGGGUUUGCAACGCCUGGUGGUCAGCCUGUGCAACAAUUUUUAAAUCAAGUUGUCCCAGAACACUUGGUUCACCACGUACAGCCGGAUGGCACAGUAAUACCUCAAGUUGUUCCUGAGCAUUUGGUACGUAAUAUCCAGCCGAACCUUCAUAAUUACUAAGGGGUAACUUGAAUUACCAAUAUCAACCUCCUUCCCUGCAAGCCCAAUAUCAGCCAGGGGGAUUGGCUCAACCUCAGUUUGCGCCUCAAUACGGUCAGUUCGAGCCCGUGCAGCAACAGUCAUAAGGGGUAGCUCAGCAACGACCGUGGGCUGAUGUGAUUGCUGACGUAAUGAGGGAACAAUUUGGGCUUAAACCAAAAGAGACAGGAAGCUUGUAUCGGCAGCCUUACCCUGAGUGGUUUGAGAGAGUUCCUCUUCCCAAUCGGUUCAAAGUUCCGGACUUCUUCAAAUUUUCAGGACAAGAUGGUGUGUCAACUUAUGAGCACAUUAGCCGAUUCUUAGCUCAGUGUGGUGAAGCAUCGGCUGUAGACGCUCUGAAGGUUAGGUUAUUCCGGUUAUCUUUGUCUGGAUCGGCUUUUACUUGGUUUUCUUCUUUGCCGUAUGGGUCGAUCAAUAGCUGGGCCGAUUUGGAGAAGCAAUUCCACAGCUAUUUCUACAGUGGGGUUCAUGAGAUGAAAUUAUCUGACUUGACAGCGAUUAAGCAGCGGCAUGAUGAACCUGUGCACGAGUAUAUUCAGAGAUUCAGGGAGAUGAGGAACAAAUGCUUUAGCUUGAGUUUAACUGAUGCCCAGUUAGCCGAUUUGGCUUUUCAGGGUACGAUUGCUCCGAUUAGGGAGAAAUUCUCGUCUGAGGACUUUGAUAGCUUGUCACAUCUGAUACAGAAAGUAACCUUGCAUGAGCAUAGGUCCGCAGAAGUUAGGAAAAACUCUAAGAAGGUUAAUCAUGUUUGUCCGUACAUGUAUGGAUCGGAUGAUGACGAGGACGAUUCUGAAAUAGCUGCAGCCGAGUGGGUGAGGAGUAAAAAGGUCAUACCAUGCCAAUGGGUAAAAAGUUCUAGAAAAGAGGAGAAGUAUGAUUUUGAUAUUACUAAAGCCGACAAGAUCUUUGAUCUGCUACUCCGAGAGAAGCAAAUUCAACUUCCUGCUGGUCAUACAAUCCCAUCGGCUGAGAAAUUAGGCAAAAAGAAGUAUUGCAAAUGGCAUAAUUUUGGGUCCCAUUCUACUAACGAUUGCAAGGUUUUUAGACAGCAGAUUUAGGUGGCCAUUGAGGGAGGCAAGAUUAGGUUUGAUGAUUCCAGAAAGCCGAUGAAGGUCGAUGGUAAUCCUUUUCCUGUUAAUAUGGUGCAUACAGCUGGCCAAACAGCCGAUAGGGCCCGUGCAAGGGGUUUUCCGGUGAAUUCGGCUAAGAUUAUCAACAAAUAUCAGAAGAAGUAUGACAAGCAGCAGGAGAAGCAUCAUGAGAAAUACGAUGAUGGUUUUGAUCCUCAUUGGGGUUGUGAGUUCUUUAGAUUCUGCUGGAAUGAAGGUAUGAGGUUGCCAUCUAUUGAAAACUGCCCUGGGUGCAGUGAUAUCGUCGAGAACUCAAGCCGAUCAUAUGAUAGGGGCAAUCGGCUAAGGCAGACAAGAGUUUCUGUUCAUCAAAGAUUGGGUCCAGUAAAUCAAGAUCAUGGCCAAAAGGACCAUGUAAUCAGGAAUAAUCAAUGGUGUCCUUCUGGUAUUUUCACGAAGAAUCAGAAGAGAAGGGUUCAAUGAUUGAGGAACAGGGAGCGCCUUCAAGAGGCUGAACAAGAAAUUAAUCAUCGGCUGAAGAAAGCAAAGCCAAGGCAGGAGUGGCGUGUUAAGAAUCAGGUUCCUGCAGUCGAUGAUGUUGCAGCAGUUGAGGCAAAAAGGUAGGCAAAAGGGAAGAGUGUUGUGACGGCACCGGUUAACAUGGUCUUUACCCUGCCAGCCGAAUUCGGGAUCGACCAAGCCAAUGUUGACGAGGUGGAAGAGGAAUCGACUAAGUUGGUUCUGUCACUAGAACAGGCAGUGUUCGAGAAACCCGAGGGGACAGAGAAUCGGCAUCUUAAACCAUUGUAUAUAAACGGCUACGUCAAUGGAAAGCCGAUGUCUAAAAUGAUGGUUGAUGGUGGGGCCACGGUAAAUUUAAUGCCCUAUGCUACGUUUAGGAAGUUGGGUAGAAAUGCCGAGGAUCUCAUCAAGACAAACAUGGUGCUCAAAGAUUUUGGUGGCAAUCCAUCAGAAACCAAAGGUGUUCUAAAUGUGGAGCUGACAGUCGGCAGUAAGACUAUUCCUACCACGUUUUUUGUCAUCGAUGGGAAAGGUUCUUACAGCUUGUUGCUUGGGAGGGAUUAGAUUCAUGCCAAUUGUUGCAUUCCUUCAACUAUGCAUCAAUGUUUGAUUCAGUGGCAAGGCGACAAAAUAGAGAUCGUGCCAGCCGACAAGUCAGUUAAUGUUGCCAGUGCUGAUUUAGCUCUUUGGGAGAUGGAUAGCCUUGAUUGUUUAUCUGGAAAAGUCUGGGAUAGAGAUUUUCUAAAAGUGUCCGAUUCUGAUAUACAGCCAAUUGAAGAUGGAGAACCCAAGCUAUUACUUUGAGGGCGUCGUGGAGGGUUCAAGUGUCUACACUACGGACACGGUAGAUGAUCUCGAUGACAAGCAUGGUCAAGGUUUCAUGUCGGCCGAUGAUUUGGAAGAAGUGGACAUAGGUCCAGGCGAUCGGCCCAGGCCGACAUUUAUUAGUAGGAACUUAUCUCCAGAGUUUAGAACCAAGCUGAUAGAGCUCUUAAAAGAGUUUAGAGAUUGCUGAGCUUGAGAGUAUUAUGAGAUGCCUGGACUCAGCCGAUCGAUUGUUGAACAUCGGCUACCUAUCAAACCAGGGGUUAUGCCACAUCAAUAACCUCCGAGGAGAUGCAAGGCCGACAUGCUUGAACCGGUCAAGGCUGAGAUUAAAAGAUUAUAUGAUGCUGGUUUUAUUCGUCCUCGCCGAUAUGCUGAGUGGGUUUCUAGUAUAGUUCCUGUUAUCAAGAAAAACAGCAAGGUCAGGGUAUGCAUUGAUUUCCAAAAUUUGAAUAAGGCCACCCCAAAAGAUGAAUACCCAAUACCAGUAGCCGAUCAACUAGUUGAUGCUGCUUCGGGACAUAAGAUUUUGAGUUUUAUGGACGGAAACGCAGAAUACAAUCAAAUUUUUAUGGCCGAAGAAGACAUUCAUAAGAUAACUUUUAGGUGUCCUAGUGCAAUCGGCUUAUUUGAAUGGGUUGUCAUGACUUUCGGCUUGAAGAGUGCUAGAGCUACAUAUCAAAGAGCCAUGAAUUACAUAUAUGACGAUCUAAUCGGCUGGUUGGUUGAAGUCUACAUUGAUGAUGUGGUUGUUAAGUCCAAAGAAAUAAAGGACCAUAUAGCUUAUUUGAGGAAGGUUUUCGAGAGAACCAGAAAAUAUGGUCUGAGGAUGAAUCCGACAAAAUGUGCUUUUGGUGUAUCGGCUGGCCAGUUUUUGGGAUUUCUUGUCCAUGAGAGGGGGAUCGAGGUAACUCAAAGGAGUGUUAAUGCGAUCAAGAAGAUUCAGCCUCCAGAGAAUAAGACAGAAUUACAAGAGAUGAUCGGCAAGAUUAAUUUUGUUAGAAGGUUUAUUUCUAAUUUGUCUGGAAGGUUAGAACCUUUUACACCAUUGUUUAGAUUGAAAGUCGAUCAACAGUUUACUUGGGGGGCAGAGCAGCAAAAGGCUUUGGACAAUAUUAAGGAAUAUCUUAGCUCUCCUCCUGUUUUGAUUCCUCCACAGAAAGGAAUACCGUUUAGGUUAUAUUUAUCGGCUCGGUCUUGAUUCAGGAAUUGGAAGGGAAGGAAUGAGUUGUAUUCUAUCUCAGUCGUCGGCUCUUGCAUGCUGAAACUAGAUAUUCCCCUGUGGAGAAGUUAUGCUUGUGUUUGUAUUUUUCGUGUACAAGGUUGAGGCAUUAUCUACUGUCCAACGAGUGUACUGUUGUAUGCAAGGCCGAUGUUGUCAAGUACAUGCUAUCGGCUCCAAUAUUGAAAGGAAGGGUUGGAAAGUGGAUAUUUUUCUUAACCGAGUUUGAUCUUCGGUAUGAGUCGCCGAAGGCGAUUAAGGGACAAGCUAUAGCUGAUUUUAUUGUGGAACAUCGUGAUGAUUCAAUCGGCUCUGUUGAAAUAGUGCCAUGGACUUUAUUCUUUGAUGGAUCGGUGUGUUCUCACGGUUGUGGUAUCGGCCUAGUUAUAAUUUCCCCUAGGGGGGCAUGUUUCGAGUUUGCUUAUACUAUUAAACCGUAUGCGACUAAUAAUCAAGCUGAGUAUGAAGCAGUGCUCAAAGGGUUGCAAUUACUCAAGGAAGUUGAAGCCGAUACCAUUGAAAUCAUGGGGGAUUCUUUGCUAGUAAUCAGUCAAUUGGCAGGAGAGCAUGAAUGCAAGAAUGAUACAUUAAUGGUUUAUAAUGAGAAGUGCCAAGAACUAAUGAAGGAGUUUCGGCUGGUUACUUUAAAGCAAUUCUCUCGAGAACAAAAUAUUGAAGCUAAUGAUUUGGCCCAAGGGGCAUCAGGAUAUAAGCCGAUGAUCAAAGAUGUUAAGGUUGAAAUUGCAGCAAUGACAGCUGAUGAUUGGAGGUAUGAUGUGCAUCAGUAUUUGUGUAAUCCGUCUCAAUCGGCUUCUAGGAAAUUGCGAUAUAAGGGAUUAAAGUAUACUCUGUUGGAUGGUGAGCUAUAUUAUCGGACGAUUGAUAGUGUUACUUAAGUGUUUGGGUGCCGAUCAGGCUAAAGAUGCAAUCGGCGAAGUUCAUGAAGGAAUUUGUGGUACUCAUCAAUCGGCUCAUAAGAUGAAGUGGUUACUUCGGCGUGCAGGGUAUUUUUGGCCGACAAUGCUAGAGGAUUGUUUCAGAUAUUAUAGGGGGUGUCAGGAUUGUCAGAAGUUUGGGGCAAUUCAGCGAGCUCCGGCAUCGGCUAUGAAUCCUAUUAUUAAGCCAUGGCCAUUCCGAGGUUGGGGAAUUGAUAUGAUCGGUAUGAUAAACCCACCAUCGAGUAAAGGACAUAAGUUUAUAUUGGUGGCGACUGAUUAUUUCACCAAGUGGGUGGAGGCGAUUCCUUUGAAGAAAGUUGAUUCUGGGGAUGCAAUUCAAUUCGUUCAAGAACAUAUAAUCUACCGUUUUGGUAUUCCUCAAACUAUUACAACUGAUCAGGGGUCAAUCUUCGUGUCUGACGAGUUUGUUCAGUUUGCCGAUAGCAUGGGUAUCAAAUUAUUGAAUUCUUCACCUUAUUAUGCACAAGCUAAUGGGCAAGCUGAGGCGUCUAAUAAAAGUUUGAUCAAAUUAAUUAAGCGGAAAAUUUCUGAUUAUCCUCGGCAGUGGCAUACUCGGUUGGCCGAAGCGUUGUGGUCUUAUAGGAUGGCUUGUCAUGGAUCGAUCCAAGUCCCUCCUUGCAAAUUUGUUUAUGGGCAUGAGGCUGUUUUGCGGUGGGAGGUUAGAAUCGGCUCUCGAAGAACGGAAUAACAAAACGAUUUAACAGCUGAUGAGUAUUACAUCCUUAUGUCACGAUUGCGAGCCCUUGCAAAGGUUACCAAGGAUAAGGAACGUAUUGCUCGGCAUUAUAAUAAGAAAGUGGUACCUAAGGAUUUUUCGGAAGGAGAACUUGUAUGGAAAUUGAUUGUGCCGAUUGGUACUCGUGAUAGUAAAUUCGGCAAGUGGUCGCCGAAUUGGGAAGGACCGUUCCAAAUUUAUAAGGUUGUGUCUAAGGAAGCAUAUAUGUUGCAAGGGCUUGAUGGUGAAGUCUAUGGGCGAGUGCCCAAUGGCAAAUAUUUGAAGAAAUAUUACCCAAGUGUUUGGGUUAACGCAUGAUCGGCUAGUAUUGCCGAUGCAUGACAGCCAAUGUGUUUGCAUCGCCUUGAGAUGGCCGAUAUUGUUAUAUCGCCCUUAGUUGUUUUUUCAAGAGGUAAUCGGUUGUGAUUUGCCGAUGUACAAUGGCCGAUAUUGUUAUAUCGCCCUUAGUUGUUUUUCAUGGUGUAAUCGGUUGUGAUUUGUCGAUGUACAAUGGUCAAUAUUGUUAUAUCGCCGUUAGUUGUUUUAUAAUUUUAUCAAUGCUUUUGUCAUUGUAAAAUUAGGGGGGCACAUAUAUAUCAAAAUGCAAGAAUCAAAAUUCAAGACAAAAAUGCAAUGCAAAUUUUUUGAGGCAAUUUUUUUGAGCGAAUUUUAAAAGUCAUAUUAAUCGGCACAAAGGAUUGUCAAGACAAUAAAGUACUAGAGCAUCUUAGCUGAUUACAAAAAAUUUCUGAGUCCUAUUACACAAAGUUAUUGAGAGAAGUAUCGCUGGAUAGCCAAAAUAGCCCUUUGCCUGAUUUUUUCUACUUCUUCAAUAGCUUGGGCAUCUUGAGCAUCAGUUCCAGAGAUGACUUUCAGAGACUUGGUUAGGUCAGCAACAUUCUUGAUAGCCGAUUUGAGCCUUGCUUUUAUUCUUCAAUUGAUUUUGGGAGAUCGGCUAGCUUUUUGUGUUCUAUAUCUAGCUCGGCAUUGCAUUCUUCAAGUUGCACCAAGAGCUCAAUUUUGUGAGCUUCGAGCCAGUCAAUAUUGGAUUUGAUCGGACCUUCAGAUAGCUGAUCAAGUUUGGUUUUUUCUUCAUGCACAAGCUGCCGAUUAGCUUGGAUUGUGGCCUCAAUCUCUUUGCGAUCACGGCGUUCGGCUAGUCUUAGCUUGGCUUUUUCCAGCUUGAACUGAUGUUGCUCGAGAUAAGCGGCUGGAGUUAGGACAUCGGCCAGAUCUUCGGGAAUCAGAGCUUGAACUUCAUGUAGCCUUGUCCUAAUUGACCCACAGUCAACUACCAAAUUGUCUAAAGAAGAGGCUUCUAGCCGAUGAGAAAUGUCUUCAAGUGUUUUUCUCACAUCAUCGAAUAGGGGAGCUAGGGCUUUGCUUGAAGUGUCUUCUUCUGCUUCGUCAAGGUAAUCUCUGAUGUCAAAAGAGAAGAGAUCAGCUAGUGCCUGUAGAGACAAUUUCGGAAAGAAUAAGAGCUGGGUAAAUUAUAGCCGAUCUAAUUGUUGAGACAAAGGGAAACUUACUGGAAUAGCAGGAGCAGCUGGUUGUUCUUCCUCUUCGACGUGAUGACUCCCCACAGCUGAUGGAGUUUGAUCACUUGAAGAUUGCUGUACAGGAGGAGAAGGAGGAGGAGGCUGCGAAAUAGACAAGUGUUAUAUAGAAUCGGUUGAGAUUGAUUAAUUAAAAGGAUUAAGGACAUCUUUCUGGUGGAACCGAUUUAACAAUUGUUGCUGCUGUUUUUUUUCUUCACAGCAGUUUUCUUCUUCUGCAACCACAAAGUCUAUGGGUAAUUAGCUGAAGAGUGAGGUAAUUUCAGAAGAAGUCAGAGAAAGGUACUUACUCUUGUAAAAUGAACGGGGGCAGAAGGAGUUGGAGGCGUUUGCUUGGGUGAAGCCGAUGGUGUUCUUUCUAUGUCACUCAUUUCGGCUACAGCUUGGUCAACAUCUUCAUCAAUUUCCUCUUCAUCUAAAGCUUGUUCAAUAGAUGGAUCCAAGGCGGGCAGAUCAUCAGUCGACAUAUCAGUUGGUUGUGGUUGAGUUUUCUUGAAUUUGGUCUUUUUCUUUGGAGCCAAGGAUAAGGUACUCAUGGCUGAUGAUCUGGUUUUCCUUUUCUUGCCUGCGUCGGCUGGUUCCCUAGUUAGGCCGUGAAGGAGAGUUGAAGUCUUGGGGGCAUGGUAGCCGAUGAAAGGGGGAGAUAGUCCACCUCCAUUCGGAAUUAGAUCUGAAGCAUAUUCAAUGUUCUUGACACUGUUACUUUGAUGAGGAGGGGAGGACUCUGUUGUCUGCAAAACAGGAGUAAGAGGUCAGUCAAGUAAUGAAUCGGCUAACUGGUUAUGCAAUUUAGUAAUGACAAAGUUUACCGGGGCAUGAUGUCAGGGAAUAGAUCUGUCACAUACAUUGAAGCCGAUUGAUGAAAUAGAUGCAGCUUCCAUUCGCCCCACCAUCUAUCAAAGUUUUUGCUUCUAAAUCUUGCCAACUCAAUAUUAUCAAUACUGCCCAGAGGGGGUCCUGGUAGGUUAAGUAGCCGAUCCAUCAUUAGAGUGGAAGUGAUUUGUCCUCGGCACUGAAUCUUGUCGGCAAAGAAUAAGCCGAUUGGGAGUUGGCCCAAUCCAAGUUGUCUGGCCGAGCUCAUUGGGUGAUAAAACUCGUAAGAGACUUGGAUGUUUCUUCCUUGGUGAAUACCGACAGGGAGGAUGCAUGGGCUGAUUGCAGCUAUAAGAAUUUCUCUGGAUUUUUGGAAUUUUUUAUGGUUAAUAUCUUCAAAUCUAAAGUCUAAUGGAAGUUCAAGGUCUGCUGAGUCUUCGUAGGGAAACCAGAUUCGUGCAUCUUUCUUAAAACCUUCGUAGAAGCUGCAGAACCAGUCCUUGAGUAACUCAGCCGAUAGCUUCGCUCCAGCAUCGGUUGGUGUGGAUGCAUAUUCUCCAUAUGACAUGCAUCUGCGAUGGGUGCGCUCUUCUCCAUCAUCUUCCACAAUCGGCUCUGGCAAUGGGAAUUCAGCUUCUGUCACAGAGGGCCGAUUGACAACCUUCAUGACUACCAGGUUUAACCAAGUUUGCAGCAGCCACCAUGGUCCACCUGCUCCAACUAUUGAGCCGACGGCUAUUUUAGCCGAUGCAUUGUUCAACAUCUGGUACAGAUAGCCGAGAAGGAUUUUGCCCAAAGGAAAUUCUUUCUUUGAUUCUAAGGCUUCGGCUACGAAUUGCCAGUUGGUUGUAGAGCAACAACUGGAUCCACAGAAGAGGAAUUUUUCCAGCCAAAUAAGCAAGAAAGCUACAUGCUCUCGAGGGGUAACAGACCCUUGGCCCAUAUAUGCCGCCACAUAGCCAGACCAGCCACCUAUGCUUUUGGUCUUGAAGUUGAAUUGGUUCUUGGUGUUCAUGCUCAUAGGGUUAGCCGAUGAAGUUACAUCUAAUCCAGUAAUCAUGGUGAUGUCAAUUAAAGUUGGAGUCAUCGGCCCUUGGUUGAAUAAGAAAGCAUUAAUGGUGUUGGACUAGAAGUAGGUGGCGGCAGCCAUCAGAGGUUCAUCCUUAGUAGAAUUGGCUAUGGUGAGAGCGAGUGCUUGGCCGAUUCCAAUUUCAUCCCAGUGAACUUUCUUACUAGCCGAUACGCGUUGGUACUAGGUGGUCCAGCUCUUAUCAGGAGUAGGUUUUUCGAGAGAUGGCCAAGACUUGAAGGUAUUCUUCCAGUGACUCAGGUUAGGGUUGGCUAGUCUAAAGGGGAUCCGGUUAGUUUCACCGAUGAUGAAAUCAGUGGGGUCGAGAUUGCCGAUUGGGCCAAGAAAAUAGUGGUUUUUGUGUGAAAGGCUGGGAAUCGCGACUAGGUUGGAAAGGUGCUGCAAAUCCAAAGGAAUUGGGAAGUAGAAAACAAGAGGAGAAAAGGAGAAAUUGAGUUCAUGCGAGGAAAAGGGAACUAGCUGGUGAGGACUUACCUCAGCGUACUCAGCCGAUGGCGCAGUAGAAGGGCUGGUGGAAGACGACAUCGCCGCGGGCGGAGAUUUGGUUGGGAACAAAAUCGCCCGGGGAUCGUCUUGUGCGUCGGGGAGAUCACCGGAGAGAGAGAGAGAGGGCAAAGUUGGUUUCAGUGGCAAAAACGGAGGAGGACGGUGUGAGAUUUCUCGAGGGUAACGGUUAGUAUUUAAAGCACGGCAGUAACGGUCGGAAAACGGCAAAGUGUGAAACUUGCUCGGAGUCGAUUUACAGCAAAUCUGAAACUCUAUCGAAUAUUCCGGACUUCGGGGGCAUGUGUUAACAACCAAAUUUGGUAAUAUCGGCAUCGGGAAAGAAGAUUAGAUCGAAGCAAAGUUGGAGGCAGAGAUCGAGUUCGGAAACAGAGCAGGAAUCGGCUGGAGUCCAGAUCGGCUACGAUUAGGAUCGGCUGGGUCUGAGUCGGGCUAGGUAAGCCGAUGCAGUCGAUUCCGACAAUGCAACAUGAUGUAUGACAUCGGGUUGAAUUGAGGUGCUUCAAGGUGAUUGCCGCACAUGGAUAGAGUCAUGAGAAGGCAAUUGUAUCUAUUAAUUAGGAUGUUUUAUGUAAUUUCAUUAGAGAUAUGCUUGGGCAAAAGUCUGCCGCAAAGACUUAUGGUAUCUUAGAGUUUGUUAGAGAUAGUAGUCGUGUCCGUUAUGGACAUAUCUUGUAAUUCUCGGGUAUAAAUAGACCCGAGCCCUAUGUAACUUUUAACACACACGUUCAAUACAAUUUCGGCGCAUCGCCACCAUUUUUGCUUUAGUUUUAUUUCGAUGAGUUCUUGCUUUCGGGUUGAGCUGCAUCGGUUUUGAUCUUCAACAAGAGGUAAAACUUGUUAUGGCGGCUUGUGUUUUCGGGAUUAGUGCUUCCAUCUUUAUGACACUCUAAUUUUGUUUAUGUAAUUCGUCGAGUUUUCAUAUAUCCUACAUAAUCCUUGGCAAUAUCGAUAUCUGACCUACAAUCGGCUAACAUCCAUCAGUAGAAGGCAGCCGAUUAGGUUAAAUGCCGUUGUUGACUUAGAUUAUAUAGGAUAUCUACCACUCUAUGACACAUCCAAUAGCUUGAUUGUCUAGAUAUUGUCCUUCUUUUCAUACUUAUAGCUGCAUCAGUUAAGUUUGAUCUUAUGAGUUGUGAUUAGAAUCUCAAUCUCUAGCCCGCUUCUUGGUUGCUGAUUAGGGUAGUAUCGGAGUUUCGGAGUUUCAGCCGAUCUUGCUUGAUUUAACUACUUUUUAUCCUAUAUGCUUGAUUGACAUGUUAAAUCUGCCCUUUACGUUAAGAUCUUGCUGCAUUUAAGUAUAUUAAGAUUUUGUUUAGUAUAUUCUACUUGCUUUAAUAUCUUAAUAUAGAGUGGUAUCGGAGUAUUAGCUGAUACAUGCUAGAUCUAUCUGAUCGGCUAUGCUAUGAACGUAUAUAGUCUCAUUAUUAAUAUAUAUUUCGAUCUAAGUGAUUUAUACUACCUCGACAUGGCGACCGAUCUAUCCCACUCAAUUGAUUUAAGUAUAUAUUGAUAUAAAGAUUAUAUAUUGGUAAUAUCUGCAGCUGAUCGAGUAAUUCAAUCCUUUCUUAUUUAUUAAUGACUGCCGAUCGAUGCAUAUACGACAUCGGCUCAAAGAUAAAUGAUAUGUCAUCGGCACCUCGCCGAUCGGCUAUCAUUUAUAGAUUUAACUGCGAUUUCUUUGCUUCUAUUUCUUGUUGAUUACAGGAUCAAAUCAACUGGCACGCUCAUACAUUCGAAUGCGAGCUUUGGACCUGCACUGGAGUUAAGAAGAUCUCCCAGGCCUCGUGUUUUCUGUCAACAGCGUGUUGUUCAGAGUUGAAUAAAAUUAAUGAUUAAAUUACUCUACUGUUUCGCUACUCUUAAAUCUUUGCUAAAUGCUGCUUUUGCAAAUGAGCCUAUAUUAUGCCAUCCUUUGGUAUCCUUGUGGACUUGCAUAUUUGUUGUGUGGCUUGUUGAGUAUGUCAUAUGCUCAUUCUUGCAAUAAUCAAUCAACCUCAGUUGAAGAAAAAGGAUCCAGAAGGAGAAGACGUUUGGCUUAUACCCCAGUUGAGCUGCCUAUGGGGGUGAAGCUGGAGCUUCGCUAGAUUUUAUUUUUCCACAGCAGUUUUCUUCGUUGUGAGGACUAAGUGCCUCUUCAGUAAGUAUUAAUUGCUUUAGUUAUUUUGAUGUAUCUGUAUAUAAAAUUGUCAGUUUGUGUACCUCGGCUGAUUCCUGGAUGGGGAUUUUAUGCACAAAUAAGUUCGGAAAUUACUAGUGAAUUUCCGGGCGUGACAAGUUGGUAUCAGAGCCAUCUCGACUGUAGGAUAAGCCAAAUGGUCAGACUUUAAGGACAAAUUUUCUGAAAACAUGAUUUGUGAAAAAUUUUCUUUUCUUCCUUCUCUAAAAUUCUUUGCAAAUUGUUUUAUCGUUCUUUCCCCUCCCACUUUCAACUUAAGUAGUUGUUAAACUUAUUAGAGAAACUCGAAGACGUCGAUGUGGUCUACUUAUGGAGGUCAAGUCAAGUGAGUCGAGGAAAAAGAAGAUAAUGGUCGAACUGAAGUGCGGAGCUUUUGUGAUGGAGUGAAGUUUGGAUCCUACCUUAGAACCUAAACCACCAAAGUGACUUUGAAGUAUAGUCAGUAGGGUACAACGUUUGUUACUUGCUUGUGUGUAGGUAUGGUUGCAUUCCCAUCAUUGGGUGUGAUGAGCGUGUAAUUAUACUAGGUUGCUUGCUUAAUCAACUUAAACAAUAUAAUGGUUUACACACAUCAGAUCAGUGGUAACAUGGUUAAGGUCUCGUCUUUAGUGUGACCCCUCUCCUUCUAACUUUUCAAACUCUGCGACGGAUAAAAAAAAUGCAAGCUAUAGUGGGAACAACAACAAUGCUAGUGGAUCAGGAAGUUGGACCAAUGGAUCAAUUUAGGACAAUCACUUGGGCAGAGUUCACUGAAGCAUUAAAGAAGACACACAUAGCUGCAGGAGUUGUUUUUUUGAGGAAACGUGAGUUCAAGACACAAACAAAAGGAUGAUACCAUGACAGAGUACCUCCAUGAGUUCAACCGUCUAGCUCGCUAUGCUCUAGAAGAUGUGCGUACUGACGAAGAAAGGUAGGAGAAGUUCUUGGAAGGUCUGAAGGAUGAGCUGUUAAUUAUGUUGAUCCCUCAUGACUGCGGAUUUCAGGAGCUGGUUGUCAAAGCAAUUCGACUGGAAUAUAAGAAGAACAGGAUGGACAACCGUAAGAGAGGAAGGAUUGUUUCCCAGGAGGCACAGGGUAGUAGCCAAAGGCAGCGUACCAAGCCACUCCAAAUUGGUGAAUCUUCUUCUGCAUGUCAAGAACAAUUACAACAGUUGGACAUUAGUGGUGAGAUCAACUCAGAGACUAAUACAAGAAAUGAAGUUAACAUGGAGAAAGCUACUCAAUUAGUGCUAGUUCAGCAGGAUCAGUCUCAAGAAGGUAAUAGUAAUGGAAGGGAGCAGCAGUUGUGUUUCAAUUGUUAUGAGCCAGGUCACUUUGCAAGAGAGUGUUCGAAGCCGAAGCAUCAACAUCCACAAGGUCAAGUCAACAACAUCAUCCUCACAGGAGCAAAUGCAGUGCCGGUUGCGUCUUCAAGUGAUACAGCUCAGCGAUCAGUUUCAAAGCAGCAGUAGUUUUUUUAAAGCCUUAGAAUAAUUAUUGGAGCUAGGGAAUAAGAUAGACUGCAGUUUUACCUAUUUCCUUUUUCUUUCUAGCCGUUCCGAAUCUCGAGACGAGAUUCUUUGUAAGGGGGUAGAUUUGUCACAUCCUGAUUUUCGUUUUAGGAUUUAUAAAUUAUCUAAUAAAUUAUUAUUAGAAUUUAUAUUAAAUGUUCAUUAAUUUACAAGUGAAGUUAAAUGUGGAAAAUAAAAUUUCCUAAAUAUAAAGCAUGGAUGGAUUUAAUUUUUAUUCAAUUCUCCAUGGUUAAUUAUACUCUCUGGAAUUUUCUCGGAUUUUUCGGAGCUCAACUCUUAAUUUUAAUCAUACAAACAAUAUUUCAGUAAUUAUCCACAUAUUAAAUUAAUCAUUAAAUGGUCUGGUUUUAGUAUUUUUAAAUACUUUGAGUGUCCAAGUAUGUUCAAGAUUUUUCUUGGAAUUAUUUGAGCAUAGGAAGUAUUUUUAACAAUUCAAAGAUCAUUUCAGUGAUUAAUUUAAUUGAAAAAGUAAUAAAAAAUCCUCCUCCUCAGCUUGGGCCCUUUUCAGCCCAUUCCCUCUCCGCUCUCCUUUCCUUAGCCGCAGCAGCCCACUCUCCCUCUUUCUCUUGGCUGAAGUCCAUUCAGGUCCCUCCUUCAGUCGGGCCGGAGAAAAAGUAAGCCCAGACAAAGUCUACUUUACCUCCCCGGUACUGUUCAUCUUCCAGCUCCAGACAGAGCCCGAGCCAGCCGUCCCGAGAUUGUGCAGCGCCGUUUUCUCCUCCAAAUCUAGUCUCCUCUCUCGUGUUAUUUCAAAAUUAGUUGAGGGGAAAUAUUCCUCUUAUGCUUCUCUAUCUUUUUCCCCCAAGAAUCGGACUUUAUCCCGAAGAAAUCAACGCGGAAUCGAGCUCGAUUCGUGUUUAUCUCUCCACCAAACCCUAGGUUUUCCUGGCGCGAUUCCUUGCGUUCCAAGCGCGAUCUCUCUCUCCCAUGGCUAUAAAUAGAGUCCCCUCCCUCUCCUCUUUCGGCCGCCACCUCUCCCUCUCUCCGCCGUCGCUUGUAGCGCCGUCGCCGCGUUCGUCUUCUCUCUCCGCCGCCCGCAGCCGCUCCAGCCGCCGUUUGCCGCCGCCUCGGCCGUCGCCCUCCUGUGCCGCCACCUCUCUCGGCUCCGCAAGGUCAAGAGCAAGCCCGGCAGCCGGUUCCCUUGCGCCGAAGACCCCGGGAAGCCCAUCGUCGCCAUCAACCCGAAGCUCGCCGUCGUGUUUUGAUCUCCGGCGAGGCUCUGCAGCUCCUCCCGUCAUCGCCAAGCUUCGCCGCCGCCUCCAUUGGAUUCGCAGCCGCGAAGUGAAGCCCGGCCACCCCUCCAUUGUCGCCGAAGGUCGCCGAAACACCGUCGCCGCCGUGGACAGUACCUCGCUGCCAUCUCGAUCUCGUCGCCGGCCAUCUUCCGUCACUGUCUGUCAUCACGUAAGUGUUGGUAAGAAUCGCCGUCGCCUUCUCUACCUCUCGGUGCCCUCUGUUUGCAUUGUUGUGUUGUGGUUCGCCGGCAACCGCCGCACCUAUGUCGUUCACCGGUGUAGUUUAUCCCUAGGGUCUUAAUUCAAUAUAAUCUAAUCCGUGGUUGAUCUAGCGCGUUGUCAUCUCCGUGUGUUGCUGUCGGAACGUUGUCAUCAUCCCUUCCUCUCCGAUCGCUUUGGUUCGGUGCGACUUCUAUCCGUUCUCUCUUUUCAAUGGUAUAUUAUUUCUUUUUAAUAUAUGUCAUCUACCAAAUAUAAUCUAAUCUUUUUCGGAGGUCGUUUUAAUCUUUUCUCUCAGUUAUAAAUCAUUUGUAAAUGGUUUAAUUAAUUUGGAAUAGUCUUUUCUUUAAUAUGUUUAAUUGGAAUUAAAUCUUAUAAAAUUCAUAUCUAAUUCAUAUGAAGUCGGAAUGAGGCCGUUCAAGUCUCUAAAUUCAUCUAAAAUCAUGAUUUACAUGUUUGUUUACAUUUUAUGUACUGUUUAUUUGGUUUUUAUUAGUUUUUUUCUCCGUUUUGCGUGUUAGCUUGUCGUUUCCGUUGUUGCGAAGGUUCGCGAGUGUGUUGGAAGUGGUUCUGAAGACUAAUUGAAGACUGAUUAUUGCAAGGCAAGUCACACAGAUCCCAAACAUGAUUCCUUUGAGCAUGUUGAUCCUAUAUUUAAAUUCUCUAUUUAUUUCAACAAUGCAUUUAUUUUCGAAUGUCACCGGGUGGUGUGAACAUAUUCCUUUGUUAUGGCCAAUUUGUAUUGAAUGCCCUAUUCCUUGAUACCUUGGGUAAUAAAUUGAUUAGCUUGAACCUUAUGUAUUGGUUUGGUUCAGCUAAAUGCUAUAUAU
rnacentral:lncRNA from 1 species